rnacentral:ncRNA from 1 species
UAACAAACGGGGAACAAGACGUUUAAAAGAUAAUUUUUUAUAGAGAGCUAAUGGAUGGUGAAAAUUAGUAAAAAAUCUUUUAAAAAAUCACUUGGAAGUUGAAUAUUUGAAUAAAGUAAAAUAUUCCGUAACUUUGCGUUAAAAAGAAGAGUUAUAAAAAAAGGUGGUACCGCGUUUAUAAAACGCCCUUUGG